AUAAAACAUAAAUCACUAAUGGUCUUAAACUAGCUAAAAUCAUGCAAAAUAAUUAAUCGAUUGGCUCAACGGAUUAUCUAUAAAAUAUCCAAAAUAAUAAAAAAUGCCAGAGUUACCAGCAACUUCGGCAAUGCAAAAUCAAACAGCAGCCUUUUGUAAGACGGAGAAAAGUAAGCAAUUCCCCUUGAAAUGUUCGGUAUUUUACUUGAUAAAUAACCUAGACAGUUAUUAAAUUUGUCUUUAAUUAAUUUUCAUUCGACCAAGUAAUUGAUUAAUCAUCGAGUCUCAGCACUACACAUAACUGUAUUAGUAGCCCCGGUAUGCUGAAAAAUGGCAACUUAUUGUAUCAGUCCCACUCCGGCCAAAAACAUGUAGCAGCUAGUCCUGUUAUAUAGCUGCAUGUCACACACUGAAAUCUGCAGCCACUUUGGAUUACAUUUUAUUUGUAUUGCCAGUAAACGGCUACUGUCUUGAUAAAUAAAUCUCACAGCUUUAUUACAAAAAACCGGGAAAAGACCUCCCACUGCGGGUCAUUUGCAGAAAACGUUUUAUUCAACGUCACGUAACGUUAAUGUUCAACUGACGCAGUCAGAUUUCACACUUGCUGUCAGGUAACCGUUACUACUCGACUCGUCGUCUGCGUAGAUGGAAAUUAAUUUCAGGGUACACCAGUGUUUGUCCAUGCUGGGCCCUUUGCCAACAUCGCCCAUGGCAACUCCUCAGUGCUGGCGGACAAGCUGGCUUUGAAGUUGGUUGGACAGGACGGCUUUGUGGCAUGUUAAAAUCCUAUUUUGCACAGCGACCAGUGUUGUUCACACUCCAGAGCAGUAGGUGGCAGUAGCAGGAAUGUCAGUUGCCCACCAGCAGGAAACAAAGAAACAGGAAGUGGUAGUAUUGUCAGAAAACGUUUGAGAUUUGUGUGUUUUUAUUGUUUCCUCUGAAUUUCAAAUGUGGAUCAAACAACUUUUGAUUGUAGUAUGAUUUAGCCUCGGGUCACUUGAACCUGCUGUAAGGCAGUUACUUAUUUGUUGGAGGUAAAAUAGAUACAACUGGUGAUUUUAGGUUAGCUUUUGAUGUGGAAAUACAGCAUUGCAUGAUGGGAAAUAUAACCAUUAUUUAGUAAAAUGUAAAAAGCCUUAGUACAGAACUGUCUCUUCUGUAUUAAAUUCCUGCAGAUUCACACACACACACACACACACACUCUCUCUCUCUCUCACAACCCUCUGGUUUUGGUCAUUUACAGAUGGUCAGGACCCUAAGUCAGUAUGGUAUGUCUGUGAAAGACUCCCUCGUCUCUGAUCUGUACAACUCAUACUUACCUGGCAGGGGAGAUACCAUGAUCAAGAAGGUGGUUCACCCAGGGUGAGGCUUAACCAUUGCACUCCGGUUGAGCUGACCUCUGCGAAUUCCCCAAAUGUGGGAAUCUCGACUGCAUAAUUUCUGGUAGUGGGGGACUGCGUUCGCGCUCUCCCCUGA